rnacentral:rRNA from 1 species
UACAAGUGGGGAAUAGCCCAGAGAAAUUUGGAUUAAUACCCCGUAACAUAUAGAGAUGGCAUCAUCACUAUAUUAUAGCUUCGGCGCUUGUUGAUGGGUGUGCGGCUGAUUAGAUAGUUGGCGGGGUAACGGCCCACCAAGUCUACGAUCAGUAGCUGAUGUGAGAGCAUGAUCAGCCACACGGGCACUGAGACACGGGCCCG